rnacentral:rRNA from 1 species
UUUUAUGGAGAGUUUGAUCCUGGCUCAGGAUGAACGCUGGCGGCGUGCCUAAUACAUGCAAGUCGAGCGAACGGACGAGAAGCUUGCUUCUCUGAUGUUAGCGGCGGACGGGUGAGUAACACGUGGAUAACCUACCUAUAAGACUGGGAUAACUUCGGGAAACCGGAGCUAAUACCGGAUAAUAUUUUGAACCGCAUGGUUCAAAAGUAAAAGACGGUCUUGCUGUCACUUAUAGAUGGAUCCGCGCUGCAUUAGCUAGUUGGUAAGGUAACGGCUUACCAAGGCAACGAUGCAUAGCCGACCUGAGAGGGUGAUCGGCCACACUGGAACUGAGACACGGUCC